UCUGCUUUUCAAAAUGGAAUUGCAGCUGGCGCUCCUUCUCGCAGGGAUAAUUGCAUUUUCGGACUCGGCGAGAGGGCUUAACUGUGACCUUCAAGCAAGGCUAAGGUGGGAGCUGGAGCCUGCUGUCUCAGUCUGAAGGGGUGCAGUGGUGGAGUCCCCAUCCCUGGAGGUGUUGGGAGAGACUGGAUGUGGUGCCAUGCUGAUAUUGGGUCUUGGGUUGGACUGGAUGAUCUCAGAAGUCUUUUCCACCCUCAGAUUCCAUGGCUCUGUGGCCCCCCAAGGAUCGCUGAUAAAGUGAUUCACCGCCAGUCCGUGAGGCUGGGCAGGACCAUCAAGCUCCUGUGCCCGGUGGAAGGCGACCCUCCGCCCCUCACCAUGUGGAUGAAGGACGGACGGACUAUCCACAGCGGCUGGACGAGGUUCCGAAUCCUCCAGCAAGGGCUGAAAAUCAAAGAGGUGGAGAGUGAAGAUGCAGGGACCUACAUCUGCAAAGCCACCAAUGGCUUCGGCAGCACCAACGUGAACUACACCCUCAUCGUCAUCGAUGAUGCCAGCUCAGGAAAGGACAGCCAGGUGCCUGAAGGCUCCAAUGGAGAAUAUGAAGAUCACUCUGGGAAGCAGUGGGCCCGGCCCAGGUUCACUCAGCCUGCCAAGAUGAGACGCAGGGUGAUCGCCCGCCCCGUCGGCAGCUCCAUCCGCCUCAAGUGCGUGGCCAGCGGCAACCCCAGGCCCGACAUCACGUGGCUGAAGGACAACAAGCCCCUCACUCCCCAGGAGAUUGGGGAGAACAAGAAGAAGAAGUGGACAUUGAACCUGAAGAACCUGAAGCCAGAGGACAGCGGGAAGUACACCUGCCGGGUGUUUAACAAAGUUGGAGAAAUCAAUGCAACGUACAAAGUUGAAGUGAUCCAGAGGACGAGGUCCAAGCCCAUCCUGACAGGGACACACCCCGUCAACACCACGGUGGACUACGGUGGGACCACAUCCUUCCAGUGCAAAGUGCGCAGCGACGUCAAACCCGUCAUCCAGUGGCUGAAGAGGGUGGAGUACGGCACGGAGAGCAAGUACAACUCCACCAUCGAUGUCGGGGGACAGAAGUUUGUCGUGCUGCCCACGGGGGAGGUCUGGUCCCGCCCAGAUGGGUCCUACCUGAACAAACUGAUGAUUACUCGAGCCAAGGAGGAGGAUGCAGGGAUGUACAUUUGCCUCGGAGCAAACACCAUGGGCUACAGCUUCCGGAGUGCUUUUCUCACAGUCCUGCCAGAUCCCAAGCCUCCCAGCGCACCUGUGCCCCCGUCCUCGGCCAGCAGCCUGCCCUGGCCCGUGAUCAUCGGCAUUCCCGCCGGAGCCGUCUUCAUCUUCGGGACGAUCCUGCUGUGGCUGUGCCAGUCCAAGAAGAAGCCGUGCUCCCCUCCGGCCGCUGCCCCCGCGCACCGGCCGCCGCCCCGCGACAGGAUCUGCGUCUCCCAGCUCCCCGACAAAGACUGCAUCUCCUCCAUAAACUACGAGGAGUACAUGGCCCAGCAGCAGCAUUUACUGUCCCAGGGGCCCGCCCUGGCCCCUGCCAUGGCCUCCAAAAUGUACCCAAAGAUUUACACGGACAUCCACACCCACACCCACUCGCACGUGGAGGGCAAAGUGCACCAGCACCAGCACAUCCAGUACCAGUGCUAAGGCUUGGCCCCGUGUACAGCGGCUCCUUUGGGCUUUUCCUCGUGGUACCUCAGCAGAGACUGCUCCAGGAUGUAGCCGAGGAAUAAUGAAGGAACUCCAAUUCGCAGCAGAGAGGCAGCUGGCGCCAGCAGCAGAGCCUUCCUGGAUAUUUUAAUCAAAGUGGCAGCAAGUGAGAUGGGACACAGGCAUGUGAACCACCACCUCCUUCCUUGUGUUACUGAAAGGAGCAGGUAGAGCAAGAAGUGUGUGUGGUACUUUUCUGGAUGAGCCUGGAUUCCUGCUGGGCAUCUCUUGUUUUGGAGGGAAGCCCCCAGACCUGUCCUGCUCUGAGUGACUCCAGCUCCAACGUACCUGAGGUUUAGUGCCAAAGCACCAGAAGAUGUAACGCAUUCAUCUCUUCCAGGGAAAGAAAAUAACACAAGAGGGUCUGGAAAAACCAAUUCUGUUCACAAGGGGAAAUGCCACGUGCUUCUCAGCCGUGGUCAGCACAGUCAGCUAACCAAGCCGGUUGGUUCAGUUUCUGCAAGGUGAAGGCAUCUUGUUUCCCGUGGGAUGUUCUGCAGAUCAGCUCUGCUCCCCUGGUCCUAGGACUCAGUGCCACUGCCAGGAAAAAGGAAAGAAGGAAAGAGGAACAUUGUACAGAACACCUUUAUAUUUAUAUUUAAGAAAUAAUAAUAAUAAUAAUAAUUGAACUGCUGAUGGUGAAGAAAGCAAAACACACUGUCCUUCUCUGAUGGCUUAGAGUGACAAGCUGCUGGAUUUUCUGCAUCAAUGCAAAAUACAUGAAAGCAUUAGAAAAAAUAGUAAGAAGCAAAGAGAAUGAAAUAAUCUUGUAGGAAAAAAUUGCAUUUGAGAAAUAUCCACCUAUGUUGUGUGUGGUUGUCCCCUCCCCUCAGAUAUCGCUUCAUAAGUGAUAAAAGAUUGCAGUUCAAACAGCAGUUAAAACAGAAAGAAGAGAAAAUAAAUAAGGACCAUAUUAAAUACCUAUAUGGACUGGGAAUGAAUCCAAUUGCAAAAUAUAAAACGUUUGUAAUUCUAUAUAGAGUUUAAACAGAAGUCAUGUAUAUUUAAUUUAUUUUGUUAAACAAGAAAAAAAAAUGUAUGAUAUUUUCCUCAAAACAGGCAUUUCUAUAUGUAUUUUUGAUCAAAGAAAAUAAAGAUUUUUUUUUUUCAGGUUCUGUAGAUGCCAUGCUCAGAACACACUUGAUAUAGCUUGUGACCAACUGUGCUUCUCCUAACCUGCAGGCCACCUGUCUCUGUGCCUUUUCACACUAGCCAGGUGUCAUCUCCUGUCAGCUCAGGUGCUGUUGGUGCCAUCCUGUCCAUCAGAAACUGACCUUUUCCACUGUCCAAAUUCUGUCUGUCAGGGUCUGCAGAUCACUUAUCAUGGACCCCAGCCAUCCUCAGUGGCAGAGUUCUUCUCUCACAGGGAAAGCUGUUUCACUAUGCAUUUCUGGGGGGGUGGGGGAGAAUGAUUCAUUAGUUUUUUAAGCCCAGACCUGCAGUGGCUUGUUGGCCUGGGGUUUUUUUGUUUGUUUGGUUGCUUUUUUUAAGAAAAUUUUGUAAAUCGAAGCGUAAUAAUUUGUGAGGCUAUAAAAGGAACUUUGGCCUCAGGGUGCUUGGAAGGGGAAAUCAUGAAAUGCAGGUGAAACACUUAAUUUAUAACUGUAGCUGCUUUAGGAACCAGUGGAGGGUGAGCUGGGCACAAUGAGAAGAGAACACAGGAGCUGCUCCCCGUCAGGGGGCUUGAACCUUCCUUCUGCUGCACACUACAGAGUGGCUCUUCAGGGGCCAGAAUUUUCUUUGGGGAAGGCAGAUUCAGCAAUAAUGCAACUGUUCUUUUCAUUUAGAGUUUGGUGGUUUAAAAACAAAAGAACAAAAAAAAAGAAAAGAAAAUUUGAGAGAUGCUAAUUUUUAAGUUUGGAAUUACUUCCUUCUCAAGCCUCUUCUAUGAAAGAGAUCCUCACCAAACCAGCUGCUCCAUUUAAAAGUGAAACACUUUAUUUAAUCUGAAACAAAGCUGUGCUUUAGGCUUUGCUUUUCUCUUUCUGGAGGUAUUUGCUCUGUGUUGACCCGCAGUGAUUUUUUUUCUGGUGGUUUGUUUGAAUCACCAGCAAACCAAACAGUUCCCUGUUUGCUCAGCCGUGGUGCUGCGAGAUGGGGCCCCGAUUCAGUGAAACACGUCAGCUCCUUUCUUCACCAGUACAUUCUGCUCCAAAAAGUCCCUUUCUUGCCUUAGGAGUAGGUUAUCCAUGUAAUAACCCCUAGAGGAAGACCAUCCCUCCUGAUGGUCCUCCUGUAGAGGUUGUAAUAAAGCAACCCAUUGAUAACUAGUAUUUUUCAGCAGGAGGGUUCAACACAAAUUUAUGAAGUCCCUAAAAUUCAGAUUAAGGAUAUCUUUAUACCCAUCCUCACACCUUCAGGGAGAGCUGAGAGGAGCUUAAGUGUGAGCACUGAUAUAUAAGGCAUGAUUUAGGCAGGAGUUCUUGAUGUCUGUAGUAUACAGAGUCAUUUCAUUAAAAAUUAAGUAAAUAAAAAAGCCUCUAUACACUCAGGACACCUUUAUUUCAAGGAAGCAGUAAGUGCAUGUUUCCAUGAAAGAUACUAAAGCCUGCAUCUCAUCUCUUGUGCCUGUGGGAAGAUACUUAAUACACUGCAGUGUGUCCCAAACUCCUGCACAUUCCAGCAGCAUUAGGGGCAUGGCAAAAGGCAGGAUUUCCCUGUAAGCCCAUGGCCCUUCUCUGCCCUCUGGGCCGGUGUGUAGCGAGGUGACACUUCAGACCCAUGCCCUGUGAGCAGUACUGACAGCCACACCAGGGGUGAGCACUGGCUUUGUGGGGUUCACCCUAAGCAAACCCUGAGAGAUUCUCUAAUGGCACCAGUUCAAGGGGCAGCUCUGUCUCUGAGCCUCAGAGAGAGGGUUAGAGGGUUAAGGGACACACUCCUGCGUUUCCCAUACAGCACAGAAUUCCAGGCUGUGCCUCGGCUCUCCACCAGUGCCUUCUGCCCUUUGUGACCCAUCCCUGUAGGGCUGUAUCGUGCAGGCAAAAACUUCACAUUUUGUCAGAUGGCUCAAGUGGAAGGUGUGGCUUCUUCCUGCCCUUGAAAGCUCCUGAAUCAAAAGGUAAAUCUCUAGUGCUGCUGACAGAGCUCUCCAAAGGCAGAUGUUGCAUUAAACUACCGAGCGUGGACGAUGCAUCAGCCCAGGGCAGCGGCAGCUCUCGGCUGUGUCACUGAGAAUGCAGCUCUGGCUUUGGAUGCACCAUGAGAGAUGCUAUAAAGGUCUUGAUUUGCAGAAAGCAUGGGGAUUUCAUCCUGCCUUGGGUAUCUGCUCCACCCUGACCAUCAAAAAUGGUGUGAAAUUUCUCCCCAUGGAAAUACCAUCACAUGCCCUGUUUAGGAGGGGCUGUGUUUUUUGUCUGGGCCUUGUGCUGGUUUGCUGUGCCUGGGUGGAUGUCACAUUUUUAUUUUUCCUUCACAAUUUAUCUCUAAGACCUUUUCCGAGUCACUCUGCAUGCCGUUGAAUUUUAGGGCUUGAUUGUGCCUUGCAUAUAUUGAAAAGUCUUCCGUGGUUUAAAUAAAUCCAACCAGGUCAUA